rnacentral:lncRNA from 1 species
AUUUGGGGUUUCCCAUGGGAUGACAAGCUGUCCAGCCUCACCAUGCAUUCCUUUUCAUUUUCAGUGGAAUACACUGAAUACCUGGGUGAGUCUUCUUCCCCAACCAGGGAAACAUGGGGUUUCCCAUGGGAUGACAAGCUGUCCCACCUCACCAUGCAUUGUCUUUUCAUUCUUCUUGGCAGAGUACUGGAAUUCACUGUUGAAGCAUAGCUUAAAAAUGAUGGGUUUUAGUGCUGCUGAUUUCAAGGAACAAGCUGCAAAACUGGAGGAACAAACUAAAGAAUCGGGUGAGUCUUCCUACUUGAACCAAAGGA